rnacentral:rRNA from 1 species
GGGGAAUUUUCCGCAAUGGGCGAAAGCCUGACGGAGCAAUACCGCGUGAGGGAGGAAGGCUCUUGGGUCGUAAACCUCUUUUCUCAGGGAAGAACACAAUGACGGUACCUGAGGAAUAAGCAUCGGCUAACUCCGUGCCAGCAGCCGCGGUAAUACGGAGGAUGCAAGCGUUAUCCGGAAUGAUUGGGCGUAAAGCGUCCGCAGGUGGCGAUGUAAGUCUGCUGUUAAAGAGUGAGGCUCAACCUCAUAAGAGCAGUGGAAACUACAUAGCUAGAGUACGUUCGGGGCAGAGGGAAUUCCUGGUGUAGCGGUGAAAUGCGUAGAGAUCAGGAAGAACACCAGUGGCGAAGGCGCUCUGCUAGGCCGUAACUGACACUGAGGGACGAAAGCUAGGGGAGCGAAUGGGAUUAGAUACCCCAGUAGUCCUAGCCGUAAACGAUGGAUACUAGGCGUGGCUUGUAUCGACCCGAGCCGUGCCGUAGCUAACGCGUUAAGUAUCCCGCCUGGGGAGUACGCCGGCAACGGUGAAACUCAAAGGAAUUGACGGGGGCCCGCACAGGCGGUGGAGUAUGUGGUUUAAUUCGAUGCAACGCGAAGAACCUUACCAAGGCUUGACAUGUCGCGAAUCUUGAUGAAAGUUGAGAGUGCCUUCGGGAGCGCGAACACAGGUGGUGCAUGGCUGUCGUCAGCUCGUGUCGUGAGAUGUUGGGUUAAGUCCCGCAACGAGCGCAACCCUCGUUUUUAGUUGCCAGCAUUAAGUUGGGCACUCUAGAGAGACUGCCGGUGACAAACCGGAGGAAGGUGGGGAUGACGUCAAGUCAGCAUGCCCCUUACGCCUUGGGCUACACACGUACUACAAUGCUCCGGACAGAGGGCAGCAAGCAUGCGAAUGCAAGCAAAUCCCGGAAACCGGAGCUCAGUUCAGAUCGCAGGCUGCAACUCGCCUGCGUGAAGGAGGAAUCGCUAGUAAUUGCAGGUCAGCAUACUGCAGUGAAUUCGUUCCCGGGCCUUGUACACACCGCCCGUCACACCAUGGAAGCUGGUAGUGCCCGAAGUCAUUACUUCAACCAUUCGUGGAGGAGGAUGCCUAAGGCAGGACUGGUGACUGGGGUGAAGUCGUAACAAGGUAGCCGUACCGGAAGGUGUGGCUGGAUCACCUCCUU